GAUGAACGCUGGCGGCGUGCCUAAUACAUGCAAGUCGAGCGAACGGACGAGAAGCUUGCUUCUCUGAUGUUAGCGGCGGACGGGUGAGUAACACGUGGAUAACCUACCUAUAAGACUGGGAUAACUUCGGGAAACCGGAGCUAAUACCGGAUAAUAUUUUGAACCGCAUGGUUCAAAAGUGAAAGACGGUCUUGCUGUCACUUAUAGAUGGAUCCGCGCUGCAUUAGCUAGUUGGUAAGGUAACGGCUUACCAAGGUAACGAUGCAUAGCCGACCUGAGAGGGUGAUCGGCCACACUGGAACUGAGACACGGCCCAGACUCCUACGGGAGGCAGCAGUAGGGAAUCUUCCGCAAUGGGCGAAAGCCUGACGGAGCAACGCCGCGUGAGUGAUGAAGGUCUUCGGAUCGUAAAACUCUGUUAUUAGGGAAGAACAUAUGUGUAAGUAACUGUGCACAUCUUGACGGUACCUAAUCAGAAAGCCACGGCUAACUACGUG
rnacentral:rRNA from 1 species